UAGAAUUCUAAUAUGAAAACCACUGUAUGCUGUAAAGAUACAGUAGAAUUCUAAUAUGAAAACCACUGUAUGCUGUAAAGAUACAGUAGAAUUCUAAUAUGAAAACCACUGUAUGCUGUAAAGAUGCAGUAGAAUUCUAAUAUGAAAUGCUGAGUUCGUAAAUGCCCAAAAUGUUAGUGUAAUUAAUUAUUGAUGUGCAAUAUCACAUUAUGACCAUUUGUACAGUAUUUAAAAAAAAAAAUCUAUAUCAACCAUAUGUACCAUAUAUCUCAUCAAAUGACAUCUCAAUGAAAACCAUACACUGUAUUUCUGAGUUAUUCAAUCCCAUGAUACAGAAAGCAUCCUGCAGCUUAGCUCCCAUAGUUUCUGAGCCGUGUCAUCAUCUGAAGCAGGCCGUGAGCAGGUGGCUGGUGCACAGUCGCUGUGGGCAAACAGAGAAGAUGCUCAUGUCUCUAACACAGUUUACUAUAAAAUACUAUAUACAAUAAUAUUAAACAAGUGAAAAUGUCAUCUUUACUCAUUUAUUAAUGAAGCUGGAAUAAUCUCAUUCGUAGAUGUAUUCUUUCAAAACUAAAUAUAUAUACAUUAUAUACAUAGAGUUGAAGUCAGAAGUUUACAUACACCUGAGCCAAAUACAUUUAAACUCAGUUUUUCACAAUUCCUGACAUUUAAUCCUAGUAAAAAUUCCCUGUCUUAGGUCAGUUAGGAUCACCACUUGAUUUUAUGAAUGUGAAAUGUCAGAAAAAUAUAUUUCUUUCAGCUUUUAUUUCUUUCAUCACAUUCCCAGUGGGUCAGAAGUUUACAUACACUCAAUUAGUAUUUGAUAGCAUUGCCUUUAAAUGGUUUAACUUGGGUCAAACGUUUCGGGUAGCCUUCCACAAGCUUCUCACAAUAAGUUGGGUGAAUUUUGGCCCAUUCCUCCUGACAGAGCUGGUGAAACUGAGUCAGGUUUGUAGGCCUCCUUGCUCACACACACUUUUUCAGUUCUGCCCACACAUUUUCUAUAGGAUUGAGGUCAGGGCUUUGUGACUCCAAUACCUUGACUUGGUUGUCCGUAAGCCAUUUUGCCACAACUUUGUAAGUAUGCUUGGGGUCAUUGUCCAUUUGGAAGACCCAUUUGAGACCAAGCUUUAACUUCCUGACUGAUGUCUUGAGAUGUUGCUUCAAUAUAUCCACAUAAUUUCCCUCCCUCAUGAUGCCAUCUAUUUUGUGUGUGCACCAGUCCCUCCUGCAGCAAAGCACCCCUACAACAUGGUGCUGCCACCCCAGUGCUUCACGGUUCGGAUGGUGUUCUUUGGCUUGCAAUCCUCCCCCUUUUUCGUCCAAACAUAACGAUGGUCAUUAUGGCCAAACAGUUCUAUUUUUUGUUUCAUCGGACCAGAGGACAUUUCUCCAAAAAGUACAAUCUUUGUCCCCAUGUGCAGUUGCAAACCGUAGUCUGGCUUUUUUAUGGCAGUGGCUUCUUCCUUGCUGAGCGGCCUUUCAGGUUAUGUCAAUAUAGGACUCGUUUUACUGUGGAUAUAGACACUUUUGUACCUAUUUCCUCCAGCAUCUUCACAAGGUCCUUUGCUGUUGUUCUGGGAUUGAUUUGUGCUUUUCGCACCAAAGUACAUUAGUUUCUAGGAGACCGAAAGCGUCUCCUUCCUGAGCAGUUUUAAUUUUAAUUUUACCUUUAUUUAACCAGGCAAGUCAGUUAAGAACAAAUUCUUAUUUUCAAUGAUGGCCUAGGAACAGUGGGUUAACUGCCUGUUCAGGGGCAGAACAACAGAUUUGUACCUUGUCAGCUCGGGGGUUUGAACUUGCAACCUUCCGGUUACUAGUCCAACACUCUAACCACUAGGCUACCCUGCCGCCGUAUGACGUCUGCAUGGUCCCAUGGUGUUUAUACUUGCGUACUAUUGUUUGUACAGAUGAACGUGGUACCUUCAGGCGUUUGUAAAUUGCUCCCAAGGAUGAACCAGACUUGUGGAGGUCUACAAUUUUUUUUCUGAGGUCUUCUUUCUUUUGAUUUUCCCAUGAUGUCAAGCAAAGAGGCACUGAGGCACUGAGUUUGAAGGUAGGCCUUGAAAUACAUCUAAGGUACACCUCCAAUUGACUCAAAUGAUGUCAAUUAGCCUAUCAGAAGCGUCUAAGGCCAUGACAUCAUUUUCUGGAAUUUUCCAAGCUGUUUAAAGGCAAAGUCAACUUAGUGUAUGUAGACUUCUGACCCACUGGAAUUGUGAUACAGUGAAUUUUAAGUUAAAUAAUCUGUCUGUAAACAAUUGUUUACAACAAUUGUUGGAAAAAUGACUUGUGUCAUGCACAAAGUAGAUGUCCUAACCGACUUGCCUAUAUAGUUCACAAACUAUAGUUUGUGAACAAGACAUUUGUGGAGUUGUUAUAAAACAAGUUUUUAUGACUCCGACCUAAGUGUAUGUAAACUUCCAACUUCAACUGUGGGCUACUAUGGUGAUCAUAGGUUAUGGCUACUAUGGUGACCAUAGGUUUUGGCUACUAUGGUGACCAUAGGUUAUAGCUACUAUGGUGACCAUAGGUUAUAGCUACUAUGGUGACCAUAGGUUAUAGCUACUAUGUCUGUGUAGAUUGCUGAGGGUUUCUUUAUUUUUUAAUCCAUUUUAGAAUACGGCUGUAACAAAAUGUGGGAAAAAGUCAAGGGUCUGAAUUCUUUCCGAAGGCACUGUAUCAUCAAACUUCUCAUCAGGUCUUGCUUGACUAACACCCAGCCUAAUGUUUGUUAUCUUAUCUCUGAAGCAUGCCGCAAACUCAUCACAUUUAUACGUGGAAGGAAGUUCACAUAGGUUUGCUGGGGUAGGAAUAAUCAGGCCAUCAAUGAUCGAGAAGAGCACUCUUCUGAUAAUUCUGAUAAUUAGUGAUCAAAUCAGAGAAAUUUGCCCUUCUGUCAUUUCUAAUUGCCUUAUUCCCGAUGCCAAGUUGAUCUCACAGAAUAUCAUAAUGGACCUGCAACUUUGACUUUCUCCACUUCCUCUCCGCCUGUCUGCAAUUUCUCUUUAAUUUAUUCAUUUUCUCUCUCAUUGUCACGACUUCCGCUGAAGUUGGCUCUCCUGCCUAUUCGGGCGGUGCUCGGCGGUCGUCGUCACCGUCCUACUAGCCACUACCGAUCCCUUUUUCGUUUGUCUGUUGGUUUUGUCUUAUUAGUUUCACCUGUGUGUAUUUUAGUUUAAUUAACGUCCUUAUAUGUAGUAGGUUGUCCCGCUCUUGUUUUGUGCGGGAUUGUUUUUGUAUUCAUGUCAUUUGGUGUAGCACUUGUGUUUUAUUCUCCGGUCUAUUUUGAUCCUGUGUUGGAUUAUUCACCAUGUGUGUUGGGUUAUUCACCCUGUGUGUUGGGUUAUUCACCCUGUGUGUUGGGUUAUUCACCCUGUGUGUUGGGUUAUUCACCCUGUGUGUUGGAUUAUUCACCCUGUGUGUUGGGUUGACUGUGUUUUUGUGUG
ensembl:lncRNA